CCCCCAGUAGUGGCGAAUGAAGCGGGAAAAGCUCAAGUUUGAAAUCCGGCGGGCAACCUCCGGAGUUGUAAGCUGAUGAGGUAUCGACCGACAUGGUCCGGGCCCAAUUUCCUUGGAACAGGAGGUCAUGGAGGGUGAGAACCCCGUCCGUGGCUCGGGUGCCAUUGUCCCUGUGUCGUGCCCUCUAAGAGUCGGGUUGUUUGGGAAUGCAGCUCAAAAUGGGUGGUAAAUUUCAUCUAAAGCUAAAUAUUGGCGAGAGACCGAUAGCAAACAAGUAGAGUGAUCGAAAGAUGAAAAGUACUUUGAAAAGAGAGUGAAACAGUACGUGAAAUUGUUGAAAGGGAAGCGUUUGGCAUCAGCCCUUGGCGUCCGUCGAACAUCCAGGCUUCUGUCUGGUGCACUCGUCGGCCGUCGGGCCAGCGUCGGCUCUGCCCGUCGGAGAAAGGCCUGAGGGAUGUGGCUCACCUUCGGGGGAGCGUUAUAACCUCGGGUGUCAUGCGAUGUGGUGGGGCCGAGGUCCGCGGACUUUGUCCUAGGACGCUGGCGUAAUGGUUCCAAGCGACCCGUCUUGAAACACGGACCAAGGAGUCUAACAUCUAUGCGAGUGUUUGGGUGUCAAGCCCGUCCGCGCAAUGAAAGUGAAUGCAGGCGGGAGCUGUAAAAGGUGCACCGCCGACCGGUCCGGGGGUUUACC
rnacentral:rRNA from 1 species